rnacentral:rRNA from 1 species
UGGGGAAUAUUGCACAAUGGGCGCAAGCCUGAUGCAGCAACGCCGCGUGAGGGACGACGGCCUUCGGGUUGUAAACCUCUUUUAGUAGGGAAGAAGCGAAAGUGACGGUACCUGCAGAAAAAGCACCGGCUAACUACGUGCCAGCAGCCGCGGUAAUACGUAGGGUGCGAGCGUUGUCCGGAAUUAUUGGGCGUAAAGAGCUCGUAGGCGGUCUGUCGCGUCUGCUGUGAAAACCCGAGGCUCAACCUCGGGCCUGCAGUGGGUACGGGCAGACUAGAGUGCGGUAGGGGAGAACGGAAUUCCUGGUGUAGCGGUGGAAUGCGCAGAUAUCAGGAGGAACACCGAUGGCGAAGGCAGUUCUCUGGGCCGUAACUGACGCUGAGGAGCGAAAGCGUGGGGAGCGAACAGGAUUAGAUACCCUGGUAGUCCACGCCGUAAACGUUGGGCGCUAGAUGUGGGGACCAUUCCACGGUUUCCGUGUCGCAGCUAACGCAUUAAGCG